AAGCAUCUCUGCCACAGAUACAUUAUAGUUGGGAACAAAAACCACCUUCAAAUAGUCAUUGACGUCAGGGUCACUAUUGACAACGUCGCCAACAUCGGUCACGAGCUUGACAAUUCGUUUUGCAUUUGUGUAUGUUGCAAAUGCUUUUCCUCCAAUCAUGAUUGUGCGAGGAGUCGUAUUUUUCCUUUCUUCUGGGCUCAUUCCCUUAAGCUUCUUGUAUCUAUAGAUGACGCCCAGAAUAUUUAGGAGCUGUCUUUUGUAUUCAUGGAUACGUUUGACUUGUAUGUCAAAAAGGGUAUUUGGACUGAUGCUCAGACCUGUCACACGCAGUAUAUAGUGUGCCAAACGCUGCUUGUUCGCCAUCUUGGCUGAUUCCCAUUCAGCAUGGAGCUCUGAAUUAUCAGCAAACUCCCGAAGAUUAGCAAGCAGUUCGAGGUUCGUCACCCAUUGAUCUGUUUUUAACCACUUGGUAAUUAUAUGACUCAGCUCAGGACUACAAAACCGGAUCCACCUACGAGGAGUUAUACCAUUGGUCUUAUUCUGGAACUUGGUGGGCCAUACAGAGACAUAAUCAGCAAAUAACUCAGCCUUUAGGAUGUCACUAUGCAGCUGGGCAACACCAUUUACCGUAUGUGAAGAGACAACACACAAGUUAGCCAUAUGCACAACAGGCUUUGUGGCAUUGUGAUCCAAAAUGCGCAUGCUAUGCAUCUUAUUCUCAAGAUCAGGUCUUUCUGACAUUAUUGUAGCAACAAACCGUUUGUCAAUUUCUUCAAUGAUCUCCAUAUGUCUAGGAAGGAGCUUCCACAUGACUGCCUGUGACCAUUUUUCCAGUGCUUCAGGUAGGACAGUAUGAUUCGUAUAUGCAAUUGUCUUAGUAGUGAUAUUCCAAGAUUCACCCCACCCAAGUCCUUCAUCAUCCAUUAGCAACCGCAUCAGCUCUGGAAUCGUAAGAGUUGGAUGUGUGUCAUUUAGUUGUAUCGCAACCUUCUUGGGGAAUUCAGACCACUGGUGAGCACCCUUUCCAUCUUCUCUCUCUUUGAAUCUGGCAAUAAUAUCCUGAAGUGAUGCACUGCACAGAAAAAAUUGCUGUUUUAGCCGUAAGAGUUUUCCAUUCUCUGUAGCAUCCCCUGGGUAAAGAACAGCACAAAUCUGCUGA
rnacentral:misc_RNA from 1 species